GAUGAAGAACGUAGCGAAAUGCGAUAAGUAAUGUGAAUUGCAGAAUUCAGUGAAUCAUCGAAUCUUUGAACGCACAUUGCGCCCGCCAGCAUUCUGGCGGGCAUGCCUGUUCGAGCGUCAUUUCAACCCUCGAGCCCCCCCGGGGGCCUCGGUGUUGGGGGACGGCACACCAGCCGCCCCCGAAAUGCAGUGGCGACCCCGCCGCAGCCUCCCCUGCGUAGUAGCACACACCUCGCACCGGAGCGCGGAGGCGGUCACGCCGUAAAACGCCCAACUUUCUUAGAGUUUACCUCGGAUCAGGUAGGAAUACCCGCUGAACUUAAGCAUAUCAAUAAGCGGAGGA
rnacentral:misc_RNA from 1 species